UUUCUCUUUUCUAUCUCGUAGCUUCAUACAUCAACCAUUAAAUACCAUUAGUGUUCUUUAAUAUAUGUAAUUCAAGCUAUUGGAAGGUAUAGUUUAAAACAAAUUAAAAUGUACAACAUUUACCUUGAAGAAUCCAAGUCGUGGUAGUUCAAUCCGACAAUUUUCAAAUAAACAAGGAUUAUGACAACCAAAACAGAAGUCAAACUUGUUAUGAACAUCAAAAUAACAAUCUCAAUAAUUAAAUCAUCUAAGUGAAGCAAUCUGUAUAAGUAUGGGUGGCUGCUCAGGGGACAAAGCCUAGCAUUGGCCGAUCCUGAUUGGUAUAAGAGGAUGGUAGCUCAGGGGAGAAAUCCUACAUGGUCCGAUCUCAAUUGGUCUAAGACGGUGGCAUCUCAGGGGUGAAAACAUAGUAUGGGCUGAUCCCAAUUUGUGGAAUUAUGAAUGAAGCAUUUCAGAGGUAAAAUGUGUAGCAUAGAUCAUCCUUUUCUAUCGCUAAUCAGCUGGUCAUUCGUAUCAUAUAUCUUAUAAAGAUUAUACAGUAAAAUAACGUAUUGAAAAGAAUGUAACAUGCACGAUUCCAUAAGUGCAAGCAAAGUUAGUGUGUAAUCCUUAUCUAUUGGUAUUUUGUUUCA